GUGUGACCCAGUGCCUCUCCAACCUGCAGCAGGGCAUUGCUGCCUAUUGCUUAACAACUACCUACAAAACACAAAUUAAGUGAAACUCCAGCGACCUUCGUUGGCACAAGUAAGUUCCACGCAAACCAACCAAAAUAACAGCCCUUGGAAAUAUGACGAGUUCUGGGGACAAAAAAUUCUCACACUCUUUCCUCUACUACUGAAUCUGCUUGCACCUGGAGGUAUGAGAGGAGGAACCCCAACCACACACAUACACAUGCAGCUUCUCAGCAGACCACCAGCAACUGCUGAGCCAGAAGAUGCAGCUGGAGUCCAGCAACCCUCCACAAGCAAUGAAGCACCAAUGGGUCAGAUUUUAUGGUGUCAGCCCAAAUUCAGUAACAACAUCACAGAGUGUAUAUCCAUCAGCCAAGCCAGCUGUUCUCCCAAGUUCCAGAGAGCCUUUAGCUACACUGCAUGGAAUUGCUGCUCUCCACAUGGAACAUGUCGUUAAGAGCACAGUCUGCCACGACAACUACAACAGCACUGCACAUUUUUGGUGUGAUAAGCUAUAGUUAAGAGUAGAAAAGUACUGCUUUGUGAGCUGAAAAGCAAAUCAAACAAUGAGCGAUGCAGCUGGAAACUUCAGGCCAAAGGUUCUAAUACCUGAUGUUGUUUCCCAGAACAAAGGAUCAUGUACGCACACUACAGACACCUUCUGUUUGGAGCAAUGCUAACACAUUAUCUCUUAUGGGCACUGCACAUGAAGUGCCCUGCACCCUCACCCACCCAUGAGAUGGCCUGAAUCUGGAUCCACACUGCCUCCAAAUACCUUUCCGUAUGGACAGGACCAGAAAACAACAGAGCAGCCAAGCAAGUCACCCCAUUAUGCAACAGACGGUGAAACUAUUUGUGCCAGUACGCUGUGGUUUUCAUUCCUCUGAAGGCUGCUUUCCUCCAGGGGAUUCCAGUAACGGGACUAACUGAAGUGUGUUUUGACAAGCUAUAACAGCACAGAAAACCCACCUAUGAAAUUACUUCCUGGUAGCAUCUUCCAAAGUAAACAGAAAUCUUGGUAUCACCGUUCAUUUGGGAAACUCCUAUGCCAUAGCUUUCAUUUGUUAUGAGAACAUAGCUUGAGGGGUUUUUUUGCAGAUAACAAGUGUUGUUAUAGGUAAUGAUUUCAAUCCCCACCACCACUAGGUGUUUGUACCUGCACGGGCCUUACAUAUAUAAUCUCCUGCAAGUAUAAAAAUAAUAAAAUAUGAAAAUAAUAAAAAGAUGCAGUCUGAAUUUCUUUUCAUUUCAUCUACUUUCUUUCACUUUACAUAAUAACAGUAAGCACAAGGGUCACUCUUUCUGUGUCAUGUUCUUAGAUUACUCCAAAAGAUUUUGUCUCUGCCUGUUCGUGCAGAUAGAUCUUUGGUUGCCAUUAUAGCAGGUUUUAGGAGUAGAUAAUCCACGACAUCCAUGACUGUGCUUUCCCCUGUCCUGACCAACAUGUGCCAGCAGAACUGGAAACAGCCUGCAGAGGGUGGACAGGGGCAGAGCACAGCUGGAUCUAAGCUAAAUAGAGAAUAGCCAGCCCAGUUCCUCCUUGUUAAAAUGGAGAUUUUUGCAUCAUGGCUGAUUUUAAGCUAGAACCUGUUUAAUACAGGGCAAUGUCUUCUAUACAAGUAAUUUAGAGUUAGAGGGCAGACGGCUCCAGUACCAGUAACCGUCUCCUCUUCCCCUGACAAGCUUUAAAAUGCUCUUUUUCAGAGCAUUUUGGAAAGCGAGCAACCAGGAGUACGGAUGCACUGACUCAGCUCCUGCUCCUGAGCUCGGCUGCAGCUUGGACCAGUGAGCACAGACCAUCAAUAUCUACCAGAAAGACAAAGGAGACAGCAGCAGUGAAAAGGAAGGAAGUCCCACACUAAAACAUUUCACUUUUCCAUAUUUUUCUUCCUGAAUAUCCCAAAACAUAAAGCAGACACAUUUUUUGCAGAAGUGACCAGGCUUUAUUAAAGACAGGAUAUUGAUAUGAAACAUUCAUGGCCCUCAACUUAGCAGUAUUUCUUCUGGAUGGGGUAAUGAAGCGAAUUUAUUACACAUCAGUGCCAAGAAGCUCAUAAUAAAAAUACAGAUUAUGGUUCUCAGAUUCAUCAACUCAAACCAGAUACAUUUGAAAAAAUACACUAUAGCAGCAGGAAGAAUGUAAGAUACUUGAGUUACCGAAGCUGCAUAUGAAAUACAUAUUUUAUCCAACAACAGGAUACAAAGUAAAUUAUUUGAUUUAAAAAUUCCGGAACAAAGGCACUCAGUGAAGACAUGAGAAGGAGAUCCCUUCUCGUGUUAUCCCAGGUGCAGGGCGUAAGGAGGAAGAUAUAUAGUUGUGUUGGACAUAAACAAAACAUGCAGAUUUUAUUGCAUUUCAAGUUGCUGAUUUUACGAGACUUGAUAUGAAAUAAUAAAGCAUGGAUGAAGCAAGAUAGAGAAAUACUGCCACUUCUCAGGAAGCUUGGCUUCAGAGAAAGUUCAGGCAGAACACAGCCACAGCAAGCCUUCCAAUGAUUCUGUCCCGAUUGCUUGGUCUCCUGUUUUUCUCCGUUUCUGACCUUUGCUUCUUUCUUUGCUGUGUCACAUCUACUGGAGAAUCAGCCAAGGAGGAUCCAUUUAUUAAAUUCCUAAUAGUGUGCUUUGAAUACUUCAUUAUGCCUCUGCCACAUUCUCUGUAACAAAGGAAGACCUCUCUUCAAAACGUUCCCAGAGCUUCCCUGCAUUGCAUCUGCACGGCUUACAUGGCCUCAGGAAGACGUAACAUGUGAGCAUGCUGCGAAAGAAACUAUGGAAAGUUUCCAUACAUCACAGUAUAAGAGACCAACCAGGUAACGACUCAACACUCUUCAAUUCCAGACAUGCUACAAAAGGAUUAGUUUAUUUUUAUUUUAGUGCCAAGUAUUUCCAGGGCUUCUAAUUCCUCACUUCUUCCAGCUCACCCUCAGGAAAAGCAAUGAAAAGAAAAACAAAGCAAAAUAAAACAAACAAGCAAGUACCACGGUGUUUCUAAUUUCUCUCCAAUACAGAACAUGCAAAAAAAGCAUUUAAAGCUGGUUUAGUUUUGGGAAAUUACUAAUCAUGAGACCUCUAGUGCAUGUCUGUGUUUAGCAGAGAACGUAAUGGAAAAAAAAAGAGAGCAUUAGUGACUCUCCAAGAAAGAUUUCAUGAAAACAAGGUGGAAGGGAGUUUGUUUGGUUUUAAUGUUUCCCCAGCAGCAUCUCUAAUCCAAACAUUACAACACAGGUCAAAUGGAGGGAAGCCAGAAAAUGAAAUGCAUUAAAAAUAGCCCUUAAAAAGGAAAGUGAAAGUGACCAGUCUCCUUCCACCUUUUCUGACCAUGAAAUACAAAUUCUGUGACAAAAACAAAAUUUGGGUUCUGGUACGAUCACUGACUGUCAGUAAACACUGCAAUCUAUGCAUGGGAAGUCCAACAGAGAACUAUAUAUCCAGCUGCUAAAGUCCUUCCAGACUUAGAGAUCCAGCCCGGUACAACUACUUGUAAGUAAACUUAGGUUAAAAUAUUUCAUUUGCUGUCUGACAGUAUUGAUUUAAAAAUCAUGUUAUAUCAAACAGCUGCAAGGUGCCUGUAGUUUUAACACAUCAACUUAGUCCUACAAGUCAGUGCUACAAAAAAGUAACGACUGUUCCACCACACUUAAUGAUCUGUCCUUUGCCCUUUGUCCAGCACUUCCAAGCUGCCUCCUCACAGAUAGAAGUCCAGCAAAGCUCUCUCACAAUUACUGUCACCAAGAUCAGAAAAACAGCAUCUGGCAGCUGCCUUGGUAGUAAUUUAUAACCAUAAGGUUAAGCCUUAACGGAUCCAUACCCCAGAUAACAGCCUGGUUCACACAUUGCAAUACUCAAGUUUUCUUCUAGAUGUUCCUUUGAACUGAAGGAAAUUAACCUUUUUAAUGUUUGAUAACACUCAGACUUCGUAUCCUGAUGCCGAUGCAGGCUCUUUCUCCUUUAUUGCAUGGGGCCUCAAGGUUUAAGAAGUUGAGGGAAGAGAGAGCAUCGUGGCAAUGGAAAGCAGUGACACUGUCUCUAACAGAUUCUCAUAGACAAGCUUAGCCACAAUCUCCCUCAAUGCCUCUCAAACUGGCAAUAUUGCAAAAUGCCUAUACAGCAAUCUUUCUCCCUCCUUCAGCUGCUCUUUGAGAACAAGGCAUGCAGCAUUCAACAGUGAACCAGAGGGCUAAGCAUUAAAUUGCCUGAAAGACAAAGCACUUGAGGCCCAAACAAGCAAAAGCCUUCAUCAAAGAAAGAGCAAUUCCAAACCUCUUGUCAAGCAUCACUGAGGGAAAGAAGUGAUCUUACAGGAGGAUGACGCAACUCGAAGCAACAAAGUAAGAAACGUUCGAUUUGGGAGAAGAGUUGGAUGCAUUCUCGGAGGACGCAGACAAAGCUUGAUACGUCAAUCUCUGUGGAGGAAACGAGGCUGGAGGGAGACUCCCUCAGAGGCUGGGGAGGGAACUCCUGUCUAUCCUGCCAUGUCAUCCUGUCAUCACAAGGGAACAGCAACAAAGGAUAAAAACGGAGAAAAGACAAGUUCUCUAUUUUGGAAUUCACCCAGAGAGGGAAACUUGUUCAAAUGCUGCAAGCUGAUCACUUCAGACUUCUGAAAGGAGCAAGGCCUGCAUCUCUUGAAAGGAACAGCCACACAUAAACAGUGCUCCAGGGAAAAGACGUAGAUGAAAGGUAUUGUGCUGUGUGCUUAAAAUGGAAAGAGAGAACUGCUCCAAACAGCUAAGAGCUCUGCAGAGAUCUGAACAAAGGGAAAAUAGGAAGUGCAGCCCUGAAGGAUUUCAAAGACUAGAUUUUGAUAGGGCUUUACGUAUCUUCCUUAAUGAACACGAUCCAAAAUGGCUGGCAGAUUGAGCAACAAACUGCUUACAGAGAUGAGAGGUGCCAAGCCGUGAUCUUCUGGAGACCUGGAGCACCUAGCAGAGGGUUACCAGGGGCCUCUGGUCAGCAUUCUCAGCCCAGAAUCUUGUUCCAUAGCUGGACAAACCCUUAAUUUCACAGGUGAACAAUGCUACAGUCCUCUCUGCUAACACCUGAGCACCAGUGCUGCUGCUGACCCACUUUGUCCAGUAUCCCUGGGUCUGAAGAGUUUGAAGCCACACCACUCGGUUCCCAGAAGCGCUCAGCCCUCCCAUUCCCUCCAGUGAAGCUGUUGUGGCUGCUGGCUGGCACAGGGAGCACAAGUGGCCUUCUGGCCUCCUGCCUAGGUGCUGGGAGCCCUCCCUCUCGGCUGGAGAGAACCCUGCCCCCCCUCACAACCCUCACCAAGCUCCACAGUUUUAGGAUGAUAACAAAGUCAGUUCUGAAGACUUACAGGGCAAACCUUCCCUUCAGACCAGAGGUUUCUGGAGGGUUUGCAGUGACCAGAAAACCUCUGGGCCUGAGCUGCAGAAGGAGAUGAGUCUCACUCGGAGCACCACGAAACUUCCUGUCACAGCAAUCCCAGCGGAAGCCAGGGAGGAAAUGGGAAAAUUGAGUCAAUUGAGUCAGCAGUCGUGGCCAGGAAUAUCUUUGGUUUCUAAACUGCCUGAUUGAAAAAGGAAAAAAAAAAAAAAAAAAAAGAGAGAGAGAGAGAAAAAGGCUGUGGUAGAAAAAGCCCAGUCAAUCAAUUAGUCAGUCAUUUCCAGUUCAAAUAUUUCCAUAAGUGCUUGGCAGUGAUUUCUAUGCAAGGGAUGUCUACUGCUGGUGAAAGAUUUCUUAGAUGGCAGAGAAUUCCUCUUGAUGACAAACUCUCCUCAGACAAACUCCAGUCUAGGCAAUUUCCCUUUGGAAGCCCUUGCAGCUUGUUAAUUUGUUCAAGGAUUCUGCGCCUUCUUAAAAGAAAAGCCAGUUGGCUAUCGGUGGCAUUUGUAAACCUGAUACACUGAGAGAGAGAGACAGUACUGAAGUGUAGGAAAAUUCCUAAAUUUAAGACACCAGCAGCAUAUUAUGUAUUUGACCUGAAUACUGUGCCUUCAGAGAAAACAUUUACACAAGUCCUUGAUGUGUCCCAAACAGCUCUACAAACAAGCUGUGUUUAAGAAUAAUUUUGCCUAUUACUGAAAUUCAGCCGCAUCUGAAUUAUAAUGUGGCAGCUGAAAGCUGGUUAACUGAAACAGAAAAGCAUACAGCUAAAUGUAAAGAUAAGUACUGCAAUCUUAUAUAUUCUGAUAACCUGAGCUCCCCUUAAAGUUCUAAAAUCUAAUUAAUUUGAGAUUUGGCGGUUGUUUGAAUGUAGGCAUCUCUUCUUACAGAAAAUAUUGUGGGUUUUUAGCCAGUCCCACAAGCUCAGUACAGAUUAACAAGAUAAGGAGUUCACGAUCUGGCUCUGUAAGCAGGCGUCAGCGAUGUUCUGUUUAUUAAAGCUAUAUUAAAACAUAUAUGAGCAUCACGGCAGUUCUGUCACCUUUUGCUGAUGAGCGAUGUCCUUUGAUCACCUUCAAGGCUUGGUGCACUAAUCAAAUUGGUCUUGCAGGUUUGCUGAAAAGAAGGCUUGCCAAGAAUCUAGAAGCUGUUCUUUUAUCCACGUCUUCGUCACAGCCAGACAGCUGCCUUACAAGUCAAGCAAUAUGCAUAUGAACAUAACAUGCCUGAGUCCAAACUGGAGAGCAGGGCACAGCCAGGCUCUGAUUAUUAAUCCCAGAUAGGACCAUACUCCCACAACGGGAUGUACACAACAGCAAGCACGCAAGUAGGAUUAUGAAAACUAAUGACGCAAAACAAAUUUUAAUUAUAGCACGUAAGUGUUUCCAUCGGGCAAAAAUGUUUGAAAAUAUAUCCUCAUUUAUUCCUAAACUUCAAAAAGCAUUCACAGUGCCAAUAAUGGAGGAUCUGCAAUCGCAGCACUUGCUGACUUUGUCUUAUUUUUCUUAAUUGGUUAUGCUGGCAAACAACAUAUGAGGAGAAAUGAUAAAUACUCCACAUCCUGAAGAAUGCUCUAAUGCUUUCUUUUACAGAGAUCUAAAUGAUGCCAUUUCUCAGAGGUUUGGGGAAGGGGAGUUGAGUUUUUUUUUAGCUCUGAGAUGGGAAGUGAAGUACUCAUCAGCUGCAAAGUGCUGCUUUAAUGUUACCCAUGCAACAAUUACCUCUGCAAUAAUCUUCACGACAUUAAAUUACAUACUAUCCUUCCUCAGCUGGAGAAUAAAACAAAAAAAAACACAAAACACUGGAAAUCCAUUGCACAGCACAGUGCCUGUAUUAUGAAGAUGAAGAUACUCGCUGCAAGGAAGCCACGUAUCUCUCAAGAGCUCCCUGCCUUUGUUUGAAGUCUUCAGUAAAACCUAAGUGAAGUCACCUCACCUAUUCCAAUAUUCACUUCACUUAUGCAGUGUCAUUGCUGAAAAUAUGUAUUUAUUCAAGGAUGUUACCAUAACCAGUCAUGAGGAGUUAAAUAACGAAGACAAUUUUGCCAUCAUAAUUACUAAUAAUUCUUGUAGCAACCCAAAUAUUCUCAUGAGGUCUCUUUCCAUAUAGAGCAGAGGUUUACUAGUUCCCUUACUUUCUCUAAAUAACCCAUAAUGGUCUGUGUCUUUCUAUUCCAUUCUAAAAACAUGUCUGUCUGUACUUACUAGCUUUUAGCAAACACGCAUAGCUAUUAAAACCUUGAGUUUUAAAAGUGUAAUUUGCUCUGAAAAGUGCCUCAUCAAAAAUACAUUACAAUUCUGCACAUUUUAUGCGUUAGCGACUUACAGACAAAAUUAAUUCCAUUUACAAGGUAUAGGCUCGGGGGGAACUUUUGGCAGCGCCUUUUCUUCUCAGCCCCACUGACUACCUAGGCGCUGAAACCUCAGCUGUACUCUUUGCUGUAGUCAUUAUGUCACUGGUAAGAGCAGCUAUGCAGGAUAAGAUCUGCAUUUAAGAGAACAGAGCAGCGUAAGCAAAAGCAGAAAGUAAUAACUGAGAAACAAGUUAAUUCAGUGACACUGUAUAUGAAAUAGUUCAUAACUAAACAAACUAAUCAGCAUUCUGGAAAAAAAAAAAGGAACAAAAAAGGGACAGGUGGGUUUCAAGAUGUUGUGGGCAGAGCACAUUCCUCAUUGAUGGGUAAAUCUCUAGCAAGGCCAUGAGCAACCAGAGCACCAGCAGUGAGGGAAGGUUGAGAACACUUGUACAACAGAGGUGGACAUUUACAGAGCUGACUGAAAAGCUGAAGGGUUCUGCUCUGAGAUCUGCAGCCCCAGAGCACAGCUUGAAUACUAAAUUACGGAUAUCCUUUGCACCCUUCAACUGGCAACGUGCUGUGCCAAGGCAGGUGGCUCGGCAUGCCUACAGCAGGCCCAGCCUGUGGCAGCUCCCUGCUCUGGUUCGAGUGACGUAUCUGGCUAUAGAUUUGUGAAGGUCUCCCUCAGCUGGACCAACAACAUCGAUCACGUGUAUAACCAGCAUGCUCACUGGAAAGAAUGUGGAACUGCUUACGCUCUUUGACAUAUAUUUACACUGUGAAGCAAGUGCCAGCUGCUGAAGUCUCAGUAGAGAGAGGAUACUGCUAGUUGUGUCCUGGCUAGUUUGGAUCUCUGAAAGUGAUCAUGGCUUGCUUUCUUCAGCCUUUAGAAAUCUUGCUGAAACCAGUUCCUCACUGAGAAAGAAAAGGAGACCACAAACAGCAAGACAGCGAUCAGUGUCUUCCAUAACAUCCUUAUAGAAAGAAGCCAGUGAGCAUGGAACAGAGCCAGCAGCCUUGGAACCAGCGACUGAGAGCAGAAAAGCGGGCAGUGUUCAGGAGUUUGGAAGAUGAAGGUUUUUCUUAUUGUUUUUGGUGUUACAAAUGUAAGGCAACGAUGAGAAAACAGUAACAGUGACGACGGCAGUGGUGGCGUAGACCCAAAUAAUCACAAAGACACCAAAAUGACUGGACACUGAAAAUGAGAUGCCCCUUACCCUCGACUGGGUACACGACAGAUGCUUUUUAUGCAGGAAGAGUACUGGUACAGCCCAAUAACUUGACAGAGACUUGGCACAGAUCUGCAAACCAAACUACACCAAAACCAAAAGAAGCCCCUAGGUUAGGAUGCUGAGAAUGAGACCUGCCAGCAGUGGAGGAAAACAGCAUUACAAGAAAGGAAAAGAACAGAAACACUGAGGGACUGGACACUGAGGAACAGCCUGACAGCGCUCUGGAGACCGCAGCUUACAUGGAAAGCAGGGUGAUCUAUGGACAGAAGAGCUGGAAGAGAAAGGAGUCAGCUACGUACUGACACUGGGAACAGGAAAAAAAGACAUUUAUAGAUGAAGGGAGACUGUUGUUAAGAAGAUCUGCAAAGCAUGUCAUACGACUAGAUCUAGGAAAAAAAGAAUGGUGUGCCCAAUGGCUACAGGAUACGGAACUAAGAACGAUCCUGAAAAAUCUUCUGUUUUAAUGUAUGACAAUGAGCAAACGAAUGUCAGUGAAGGAAAGGAAAGACAAAAAUGAGAAAGAAAACAUUCAAUACUGCAGAGAGCAGUAAUUGAAAGGAAACACAGGAUUAUACCUAAUUCAGCGAGGGAAAUGGAUGUGGUUAGCGAGAAACAAGUGAAAUGUUUGUGUACUAAUAAUACUUAGGCCGUGGACCAGAAAAGGAAAAGAGGAAUUUUAAUUGCUGGUGCAAAAUGUGAAGCAAUACUUCGAAGGAAUAACAGAAAAUGCCAUCAGGAUGGGAACACAACUAUGUUCAGGAGAAGUAAAAACACAAGUAAAAAAUGAUGGAAAAGAAUUGAACAUCAAUAGUAUCAAUAGCAGUGUGAUAGCAAGGAAUACCACUGACAACACAAAACCUGUUUAGAGGAAGGUGGGCUCUGCAGCAGGCUAGGUUCCUUUGCAGCAGAUAUUUUUCCCACUUUUCCCCAAAGACUCAAAAAACCUUAGACUCAAAAAACAGAAUUCCUAGCAGAAAAUGAGACUUUAAUUUAGGAGAUACAGAUAGUAGAACACAUGGGACAGCAGGAGAGUGGAGAUUUCUGGAUGUGAGAUCCUAGGUCUCUCUUUACCAACAACUCCCUUAACAAGAGGGCCUGUAGGUAAUCUCAGGGUUGAUUUUGGAAGGAGUAAAGAUAUCUGUAAUAGAACUGGAUUAAGAAAAUAAUUACAUGUUGAGAGACCGUUAUUUAUGUUUUUUCUAAUUAAACAGAUGAGCAAAAUACCUGUCAUGAAAGUUCAGGAUUUCAAAGGGCAAGUUUGACAAACUAAAAGAAAUCAGUUAUUAAAUAAUCACCUGUACUGAGGAGAUACCAAAUAGGAGGAUCUAACUGACCUGUAAAAGCAUAGCUACAGAAACAAAACUGAAAAAGCUGAGCAAAGACGAACAAACUGAAAAAGAUGAACAAAAGGGCUAAAAGCAAAAAAUUCUGCCAUGAACUGGAAACUCAUCACCUGGAAAUGUCAAAGAAAAAUCCAUAAAAUCGAACAGAUAAUCACCCUGAAAUAAUCAUAAAAGGCGAAGAUACUUCAGAACUGUUUCAGAUGGGCUUCUGUAAGAUACAAAUCACUGCCAUUGGGCAAAGCUUUGGAAAAAAAGAGCUCACCUCCAGCACUGAGAAAAGGUUUUAUUGCUCAUUUAUAUUGAAGGAAACUGGACUCAAACUGGUGCAGAGCAGGGUUAUUAGAACGGUGAGAGGAACAGACUAGCCUCUGAGGAGCUUGGCUUGAUCAGACUCAGAAGGAGUAGGCUGAGAAGGCUACAAGAUUUGUCUCUAUAAAUGUAUCACAGAGGAUGUAAAAGAUUUAUUUAAGCAAAAUGACAAUGUUAAGAACAAGUGGCUAUAAACAAGCCACAAUGAAAUUUCAGUUGAAGUUAGAAGAAGGCCUCUAGCCUGACCACACUGAGGUUUUGAAGCAUGUUUUUAAUAACAGUAGUGAAGACAAAGAACUUAACGAGAUUUUGAUCACUUUGCAAAUGGAACAGCAGGAGGAGGUUGCCUGGAACAGUGAGAGAAUGAAUGCUAGGUUCAGGAAAUCUUUUCCAUUCCUAAUUUAAAUAAAAAUUUGUUCACUGAAACUUGGCAGAAGUUAUUUAAUACUGUCUUUUAAUGGAUGUCUUUGUUACUUCAUGAAAUGUACUUUAAAGGAUUGUUAAAAAGAAAACCUGUCUGUUGAAAGACAGCAUUGUAUUUUUAUGAUAUACAAACAAUAAGUAUCCUGGAAUCCUAACGAGUACAUUAAAAGCCAUUAAAAUCA